rnacentral:rRNA from 1 species
UACGUAGGGUGCGAGCGUUGUCCGGAAUUAUUGGGCGUAAAGAGCUCGUAGGCGGUCUGUCGCGUCGAUCGUGAAAACUUGGGGCUUAACCCUGAGCUUGCGGUCGAUACGGGCAUGACUGGAGUUCGGUAGGGGAGUGUGGAAUUCCUGGUGGAGCGGUGAAAUGCGCAGAUAUCAGGAGGAACACCCGUAGCGAAGGCGGCACUCUGGGCCGAUACUGACACUGAGGAGCGAAAGCGUGGGGAGCGAACAGG